rnacentral:rRNA from 1 species
CCUACGGGAGGCAGCAGUGGGGAAUAUUGUACAAUGGGCGCAAGCCUGAUGCAGCCAUGCCGCGUGUGUGAAGAAGGCCUUCGGGUUGUAAAGCACUUUCAGCGGGGAGGAAGGCGUUAAGGUUAAUAACCUUGUCGAUUGACGUUACCCGCAGAAGAAGCACCGGCUAACUCCGUGCCAGCAGCCGCGGUAAUACGGAGGGUGCAAGCGUUGAUCGGAAUUACUGGGCGUAAAGCGCACGCAGGCGGUCUGUCAAGUCGGAUGUGAAAUCCCCGGGCUCAACCUGGGAACUGCAUUCGAAACUGGCAGGCUAGAGUCUUGUAGAGGGGGGUAGAAUUCCAGGUGUAGCGGUGAAAUGCGUAGAGAUCUGGAGGAAUACCGGUGGCGAAGGCGGCCCCCUGGACAAAGACUGACGCUCAGGUGCGAAAGCGUGGGGAGCAAACAGGAUUAGAUACCCGUGUAGUC